CCUACGGGAGGCAGCAGUGAGGAAUAUUGGUCAAUGGCCGGAAGGCUGAACCAGCCAUGCCGCGUGAAGGUCAGUGCCCUAUGGGCGUUAAACUUCUUUUGUGCGGGAGCAAUAAUGGUCACGUGUGGCCAGACGAGAGUACCGUACGAAUAAGCAUCGGCCGACUCCGUUCCACCAGCCGCGGUAAUACGGGGGAUGCAAGCGUUUUCCGGGUUUAAUGGGGUUAAAGGGUGCGUAGGCUGUGAGGUAAGUCAGCGGUGAAAAGCCCGCGGUCAACGGGGUGAAGUGCCAUUGAUACUGCCUUGCUAGAAUGCGGAUGCGGUAGGAGGAAUGUGUGGUGUAGCGGUGAAAUGCAUAGAUAUCACACAGAACACCGAUUGCGAAGGCAGCUCACGAAUCCGCGAUUGACGCUGAUGCACGAAAGCGUGGGGAUCAAACAGGAUUAGAUACCCCGGUAGUC
rnacentral:rRNA from 1 species